rnacentral:rRNA from 1 species
CAACCUGCCGUCUACUCUUGGACAGCCUUCUGAAAGGAAGAUUAAUACAAGAUGGCAUCAUGAGUCCGCAUGUUCACAUGAUUAAAGGUAUUCCGGUAGACGAUGGGGAUGCGUUCCAUUAGAUAGUAGGCGGGGUAACGGCCCACCUAGCCUUCGAUGGAUAGGGGUUCUGAGAGGAAGGUCCCCCACAUUGGAACUGAGACACGGUCCAAACUCCUACGGGAGGCAGCAGUGAGGAAUAUUGGUCAAUGGGCGAGAGCCUGAACCAGCCAAGUAGCGUGAAGGAUGACUGCCCUAUGGGUUGUAAACUUCUUUUAUAAAGGAAUAAAGUCGGGUAUGCAUACCCGUUUGCAUGUACUUUAUGAAUAAGGAUCGGCUAACUCCGUGCCAGCAGCCGCGGUAAUACGGAGGAUCCGAGCGUUAUCCGGAUUUAUUGGGUUUAAAGGGAGCGUAGAUGGAUGUUUAAGUCAGUUGUGAAAGUUUGCGGCUCAACCGUAAAAUUGCAGUUGACACUGGAUAUCUUGAGUGCAGUUGAGGCAGGCGGAAUUCGUGGUGUAGCGGUGAAAUGCUUAGAUAUCACGAAGAACUCCGAUUG